rnacentral:rRNA from 1 species
GUGCCAGCCGCCGCGGUAAUACGUAGGGUGCAAGCGUUAAUCGGAAUUACUGGGCGUAAAGCGUGCGCAGGCGGUUUGCUAAGACCGAUGUGAAAUCCCCGGGCUCAACCUGGGAACUGCAUUGGUGACUGGCAGGCUAGAGUAUGGCAGAGGGGGGUAGAAUUCCACGUGUAGCAGUGAAAUGCGUAGAGAUGUGGAGGAAUACCGAUGGCGAAGGCAGCCCCCUGGCCAA